rnacentral:rRNA from 1 species
GGGUUGUGAGGUUAAGCGACUAAGCGUACACGGUGGAUGCCCUGGCAGUCAGAGGCGAUGAAGGACGUGCUAAUCUGCGAUAAGCGUCGGUGAGGUGAUAUGAACCGUUAUAACCGGCGAUUUCCGAAUGGGGAAACCCAGUGUGUUUCGACACACUAUCAUUAACUGAAUCCAUAGGUUAAUGAGGCGAACCGGGGGAACUGAAACAUCUAAGUACCCCGAGGAAAAGAAAUCAACCGAGAUUCCCCCAGUAGCGGCGAGCGAACGGGGAGGAGCCCAGAGCCUGAAUCAGUGUGUGUGUUAGUGGAAGCGUCUGGAAAGGCGCGCGAUACAGGGUGACAGCCCCGUACACAAAAAUGCACAUAUUGUGAGCUCGAUGAGUAGGGCGGGACACGUGGUAUCCUGUCUGAAUAUGGGGGGACCAUCCUCCAAGGCUAAAUACUCCUGACUGACCGAUAGUGAACCAGUACCGUGAGGGAAAGGCGAAAAGAACCCCGGCGAGGGGAGUGAAAAAGAACCUGAAACCGUGUACGUACAAGCAGUGGGAGCCUCUUAAUGGGGUGACUGCGUACCUUUUGUAUAAUGGGUCAGCGACUUAUAUUCUGUAGCAAGGUUAACCGAAUAGGGGAGCCGAAGGGAAACCGAGUCUUAACUGGGCGUUAAGUUGCAGGGUAUAGACCCGAAACCCGGUGAUCUAGCCAUGGGCAGGUUGAAGGUUGGGUAACACUAACUGGAGGACCGAACCGACUAAUGUUGAAAAAUUAGCGGAUGACUUGUGGCUGGGGGUGAAAGGCCAAUCAAACCGGUAGAUAGCUGGUUCUCCCCGAAAGCUAUUUAGGUAGCGCCUCGUGAAUUCAUCUCCGGGGGUAGAGCACUGUUUCGGCAAGGGGGUCAUCCCGACUUACCAACCCGAUGCAAACUGCGAAUACCGGAGAAUGUUAUCACGGGAGACACACGGCGGGUGCUAACGUCCGUCGUGAAGAGGGAAACAACCCAGACCGCCAGCUAAGGUCCCAAAGUCAUGGUUAAGUGGGAAACGAUGUGGGAAGGCCCAGACAGCCAGGAUGUUGGCUUAGAAGCAGCCAUCAUUUAAAGAAAGCGUAAUAGCUCACUGGUCGAGUCGGCCUGCGCGGAAGAUGUAACGGGGCUAAACCAUGCACCGAAGCUGCGGCAGCGACACUAUGUGUUGUUGGGUAGGGGAGCGUUCUGUAAGCCUGUGAAGGUGGCCUGUGAGGGUUGCUGGAGGUAUCAGAAGUGCGAAUGCUGACAUAAGUAACGAUAAAGCGGGUGAAAAGCCCGCUCGCCGGAAGACCAAGGGUUCCUGUCCAACGUUAAUCGGGGCAGGGUGAGUCGACCCCUAAGGCGAGGCCGAAAGGCGUAGUCGAUGGGAAACAGGUUAAUAUUCCUGUACUUGGUGUUACUGCGAAGGGGGGACGGAGAAGGCUAUGUUGGCCGGGCGACGGUUGUCCCGGUUUAAGCGUGUAGGCUGGUUUUCCAGGCAAAUCCGGAAAAUCAAGGCUGAGGCGUGAUGACGAGGCACUACGGUGCUGAAGCGACAAAUGCCCUGCUUCCAGGAAAAGCCUCUAAGCAUCAGGUAACAUCAAAUCGUACCCCAAACCGACACAGGUGGUCAGGUAGAGAAUACCAAGGCGCUUGAGAGAACUCGGGUGAAGGAACUAGGCAAAAUGGUGCCGUAACUUCGGGAGAAGGCACGCUGAUAUGUAGGUGAAGCGACUUGCUCGUGGAGCUGAAAUCAGUCGAAGAUACCAGCUGGCUGCAACUGUUUAUUAAAAACACAGCACUGUGCAAACACGAAAGUGGACGUAUACGGUGUGACGCCUGCCCGGUGCCGGAAGGUUAAUUGAUGGGGUUAGCGGUAACGCGAAGCUCUUGAUCGAAGCCCCGGUAAACGGCGGCCGUAACUAUAACGGUCCUAAGGUAGCGAAAUUCCUUGUCGGGUAAGUUCCGACCUGCACGAAUGGCGUAAUGAUGGCCAGGCUGUCUCCACCCGAGACUCAGUGAAAUUGAACUCGCUGUGAAGAUGCAGUGUACCCGCGGCAAGACGGAAAGACCCCGUGAACCUUUACUAUAGCUUGACACUGAACAUUGAGCCUUGAUGUGUAGGAUAGGUGGGAGGCUUUGAAGUGUGGACGCCAGUCUGCAUGGAGCCGACCUUGAAAUACCACCCUUUAAUGUUUGAUGUUCUAACGUGGGCCCCUUACCGGGGUUGCGGACAGUGUCUGGUGGGUAGUUUGACUGGGGCGGUUUCCUCCUAAAGAGUAACGGAGGAGCACGAAGGUUGGCUAAUCCUGGUCGGACAUCAGGAGGUUAGUGCAAUGGCAUAAGCCAGCUUGACUGCGAGCGUGACGGCGCGAGCAGGUGCGAAAGCAGGUCAUAGUGAUCCGGUGGUUCUGAAUGGAAGGGCCAUCGCUCAACGGAUAAAAGGUACUCCGGGGAUAACAGGCUGAUACCGCCCAAGAGUUCAUAUCGACGGCGGUGUUUGGCACCUCGAUGUCGGCUCAUCACAUCCUGGGGCUGAAGUAGGUCCCAAGGGUAUGGCUGUUCGCCAUUUAAAGUGGUACGCGAGCUGGGUUUAGAACGUCGUGAGACAGUUCGGUCCCUAUCUGCCGUGGGCGCUGGAGAACUGAGGGGGGCUGCUCCUAGUACGAGAGGACCGGAGUGGACGCAUCACUGGUGUUCGGGUUGUCAUGCCAAUGGCACUGCCCGGUAGCUAAAUGCGGAAGAGAUAAGUGCUGAAAGCAUCUAAGCACGAAACUUGCCCCGAGAUGAGUUCUCCCUGACUCCUUGAGAGUCCUGAAGGAACGUUGAAGACGACGACGUUGAUAGGCCGGGUGUGUAAGCGCAGCGAUGCGUUGAGCUAACCGGUACUAAUGAACCGUGAGGCUUAACCUUACAACGCCGAAG